rnacentral:rRNA from 1 species
CCUACGGGUGGCAGCAGUCGAGAAUCAUUCACAAUGGGGGAAACCCUGAUGGUGCGACGCCGCGUGGGGGAAUGAAGGUCUUCGGAUUGUAAACCCCUGUCAUGUGGGAGCAAAUCAAAAAUAUAGUACCACAAGCGGUAGAGACGGCUAACUCUGUGCCAGCAGCCGCGGUAAUACAGAGGUCGCAAGCGUUGUACGGAAUCACUGGGCGUAAGGCGUGCGUAGGCGGUUUCGUAAGUCGUGAGUGAAAGGAGCGGGCUCAAGCCGCGGACGGCACAUGAUACUGCGAGACUAGAGGAAGGGAGGGGGAACCGGAAUUCUCGGUGUAGCAGUGAAAUGCGUAGAUAUCGAGAGGAACACUCGUGGCGAAGGCGGGUUCCUGGACAGUAACUGACGCUGAGGCACGAAGGCGAGGGGAGCGAAAGGGAUUAGAUACCCUGGUAGUC